rnacentral:rRNA from 1 species
GUGAGGAAUUUUGCGCAAUAGGGGAAACCCUGACGCAGCAACGCCGCGUGAGUGAAGAAGGCCUUCGGGUCGUAAAGCUCUGUCAAGUGGGAAAAAAGUCAACUAGUGAAUAGCUGGUUGGCCUGAUGGUACCACUAGAGGAAGCACCGGCUAACUCCGUGCCAGCAGCCGCGGUAAUACGGAGGGUGCAAGCGUUGUUCGGAAUUAUUGGGCGUAAAGCGCGUGUAGGCGGUUUGGUAAGUCAGAUGUGAAAGCCCUGGGCUUAACCCAGGAAGUGCAUUUGAAACUGCCAUACUCGAGUAUGGGAGAGGAGAGUGGAAUUCCCAGUGUAGAGGUGAAAUUCGUAGAUAUUGGGAGGAACACCCGUGGCGAAGGCGACUCUCUGGACCAAUACUGACGCUGAGACGCGAAAGCGUGGGGAGCAAACAGGAUUAGAAACCCCUGUAGUCC